GACGAACGCUGGCGGCGUGCUUAACACAUGCAAGUCGAACGGAAAGGCCCUUUCGGGGGUACUCGAGUGGCGAACGGGUGAGUAACACGUGGGUGAUCUGCCCUGCACUUCGGGAUAAGCUUGGGAAACUGGGUCUAAUACCGGAUAGGACUACGCACUGCAUGGUGUGUGGUGGAAAGCUUUUGCGGUGUGGGAUGGGCCCGCGGCCUAUCAGCUUGUUGGUGGGGUGAUGGCCUACCAAGGCGACGACGGGUAGCCGGCCUGAGAGGGUGUCCGGCCACACUGGGACUGAGAUACGGCCCAGACUCCUACGGGAGGCAGCAGUGGGGAAUAUUGCACAAUGGGCGCAAGCCUGAUGCAGCGACGCCGCGUGGGGGAUGACGGCCUUCGGGUUGUAAACCUCUUUCACCAUCGGCGAAGCCGGGAGCUUUUGUUUCUGG
rnacentral:rRNA from 2 species